CUCGCAGAAUUAACAUUAAUGACCCACAGCUGAUAUGACCUGCUGCUGGUGAUGUUUGUCAUUUUAAACAGCGAAGGAGUAUCAGUAUUCUGUGUGGCGGGACUGGAGAUUUAAAGAAGUGGGCUUAUGGCCAGCCUCGAAUCACCGGAUGAACCAGGAAAACCUCAGAAGGUUAAAGAUCAAAUGCCGCUGUUGACCCCCUGAACUGCCCUGUUACCCAAAGCUCAAAGUACCACUUGAGUGACUAAAACUCUAUGUUGUGUGCAUUUUACUGAGCAGGCACUGUAGGGGCCAACUGUUCUCCAAGGACACGUCAAAAGGCCAGAUGACUGCUGAUGGACGCACUGGCUGCUGCAGGGAUCCAAUGGAACAAUCUCUUUAAUCACAAUGCCUCCUUGCUAUUACAAGUCAAUAAAAACAUCUCUGUAAUGCCUACAUUUUCA